rnacentral:lncRNA from 1 species
AUUAAAAUACAUACAAAAACAUCGUCAACAAAGAGUUUAGCUACACUGCCAAAAUCUCAGUUCUUACAUUCUUUUUCACCAUGGAAUCAGAAUCGAAAUGGGUAAAUUCGUUUGUGGGUGUUUGGUAUGCGGAAGUCUCAUUAUGAUUCCGAUUCCCGAGUGGAAUGGGAAUCCCCCAAUCACCUCUUUUCCCAAUCCGACCUAGGAGACCGGAUUGGAAGUUGAAUCCAGACGGAAUGGGUAUUUUUCAAAUUAAAUUUAUUUUUUCAACUUUUUAAAUUAAAAUAUAAGUUUAAAUUUAGUUAUUAAAUUUAUAAUUUUAAAUUUUAAUUUGAAUUUGAAUUAAAAAUUAAAAGUUAAUCAAGUAUUUUAAAUCUAACUUAUAAAUUCGAAUUUAAAUUAAAUUUUAAUUUAUAUAAAGUUUUAUUCAAAUUUUAUUUAAAACUUAAAUUAAAUUUAUGGAUUUAAAUUAAAAUUUAAAUUGUAAUUUUAAGUUUGAAUUUGAAUAAAUCGAAAUUUAGUUUUAUAUUUUGAAUUAUCCACUCAACUUCAAAGUUUUUUUUUUAAAAAAAAUAGAUUUAAAAUUUUGACAUUAUUUCAAAAGUUUGAUGUAAAUUUUUAAUAUUUAAUUUUCAAUUUGAAUUUAAAUUAAUUUAUUAUAAAGAUAAAGUUAGUAUAUUAAUUUGAUUACGUUUUUUAUAUCUACCUAAACCAAACACUGACAAUGGGAAUGAUUUAUUCUGAUUCUGAUUCAGAUAACGAACCAAACAGAAUUAGGUAAUGAGUCAUUCCGGAUUCCAGUUUAUUUCAAUUCCAAUUCUGAUUUCGAUUCCGAUCUCAAACCAAACGCGCCCAUAUAUAUAUAUAUAUAUAUAGAGAGAGAGAGAGAGAGAGAGAGAGAGAGAGAGAGAGAGAGAGAGAGACUAAGGCUACUAUACUCUUAUGAGUAUUAAUCCAUUUGCACUCAUAAAUUUUUCGCCGUUGGAUGAAGGGAUGUACGAUUAGGAUGAUAGUGAUCUCCGAUUAUGAUGAUAGUGGUUCCCUACGGUUGAGUGGGUAUUUGGUUGAAUAUUAUAAUCUAACGGAUAGAAAUGGUCAAAGGGGUAGAUCUAACGGCCAAAAACUUAUGAGUAUAAAAAGAUCUGUACUCAUAAGAGUAUAGUAGCCGAACUCUAUAUCUAUAUAUAUAUAUAUAUAUAUAUAUAUAUAGAGUUGAGCUAGAAUGCUAUCGAUAGCAAACGGACUCCGUUGCCACCCAUUUGUUUUCGAUGAUGGAGCCACCAAAUGGACGAUCGGCACCGUUGAACAUGAUCUAUACCACUUGAAGUGUUUAGAAAUCAAAUUUCAUACAUUUUUUAUAUUGUUUUCUUAUCCAUCGAGUGGACACAAAAAUGAACGGCUGAAAAUGAAUAUUCUUUAAAAAAUAAUGAUAGGAGUCUUGUAAUCAAGAUCAAGAGUAUAGAUCUUGUUUUAAAUAGUUUAAAGAAUUUUCUAACAAAAAUUCAAUUGAUUUGGAUAUCUUUACGCCGUUAAACGAGAAAACGUCUCAUAUCGACCAUUAAAAUUACAAAUUUUGAAACCCUUUGAUCAUUAGGCAAAUGAUGUCGAAAAGAUUUGAAAUUUGAUUUCUAAACACUUCAAGUGGUAUAGAUCAUGUUCAACGGUACCGAUUGUCGAUUUGGAGGCUCCAUCAUCGAAAACAAAUAGGUGGCAAAAUAGCCCGUUUGCUAUCGAUAGUAUUCUAGCUCAACUCUAUAUAUAUAUAUAUAUAUAUAUAUAUAGCAGGGCUGCUGCGCUCUUAGGAGCACGGAGGCCUCCGUGCUCCUGAGCCGUUUUCGAUGAUGGAAUUUUCGAAUCGACGAUCGGCUCCGUUAGACUUGAUCUAGGGUAUUUGAAGUUUCUAGAAAAUAAUUUUUGUGAUUUUUUGAUAUCAUUUACCUAGUAAUCGAAAGGAUUCAAAAUCAAUAAUUUUUAAUGGUUGAUAUGUGCCAUUUUGAAGUUUAACGGUGUAUUCAAAUCAGAUGAAAUUUUGAUACAAAAUUCUUUAUACUAUUUACAACAAGAUCAAUAUUUAUGAUCGAAAAUUUUAGUGCUGUAUCACCACUUUUUAUAGGAUUUUUAUUUCGAGCCGUUAAAAAUUAUUGAUUUUGAAUCCUUUCGUUUGCUAGAUAAAUGAUAUCGAAAAAUCACAAAAAUUAUUUUUUAGAAACUUCAAAUACGCUAGAUCAAGUCUAACGGAGCCGAUCGUCGAUUUGGGAGUCCUAUUAUCGAAAACGGCUCAGGAGCACGGAGGGCUCCGUGCUCCUGAGAGCACAGCAGC